CAGUAGCCGCGGGAAUACGGAGGGUGCAAGCGUUAAUCGGAAUUACUGGGCGUAAAGCGUGCGUAGGCGGUUCGUUAAGUCUGUUGUGAAAGCCCCGGGCUCAACCUGGGAAUGGCAAUGGAUACUGGCGAGCUAGAGUGUGUCAGAGGAUGGUGGAAUUCCCGGUGUAGCGGUGAAAUGCGUAGAGAUCGGGAGGAACAUCAGUGGCGAAGGCGGCCAUCUGGGACAACACUGACGCUGAGGCACGAAAGCGUGGGGAGCAAACAGAAUUAGAUACCCGGGUAGUCCCUGUCUCUUAUAC
rnacentral:rRNA from 1 species